UACGGGGGGGGGCAAGCGUUGUUCGGAAUUACUGGGCGUAAAGGGCUCGUAGGCGGCCAACUAAGUCAGACGUGAAAUCCCUCGGCUUAACCGGGGAACUGCGUCUGAUACUGGAUGGCUUGAGUUCGGGAGAGGGAUGCGGAAUUCCAGGUGUAGCGGUGAAAUGCGCAGAUAUCAGGAAGAACACCCGUGGCGAAGGCGGCUCUCUGGGACGGUACUGACGCUGAGACGCGAAAGCGUGGGGAGCGAACAGG
rnacentral:rRNA from 1 species